AUUAGCUAGUAGGUGGGGUAAUGGCUCACCUAGGCGACUAUCCCUAGCUGGUCUGAGAGGAUGACCAGCCACACUGGAACUGAGACACGGUCCAGACUCCUACGGGAGGCAGCAGUGGGGAAUAUUGCACAAUGGGCGCAAGCCUGAUGCAGCCAUGCCGCGUGUGUGAAGAAGGCCUUCGGGUUGUAAAGCACUUUCAGCGAGGAGGAAGGUGGUGAACUUAAUACGUUCAUCAAUUGACGUUACUCGCAGAAGAAGCACCGGCUAACUCCGUGCCAGCAGCCGCGGUAAUACGGAGGGUGCAAGCGUUAAUCGGAAUUACUGGGCGUAAAGCGCACGCAGGCGGUUUGUUAAGUCAGAUGUGAAAUCCCCGGGCUCAACCUGGGAACUGCAUUUGAAACUGGCAAGCUAGAGUCUCGUAGAGGGGGGUAGAAUUCCAGGUGUAGCGGUGAAAUGCGUAAAGAUCUGGAGGAAUACCGGUGGCGAACGCGGCCCCCUGGACGAAGACUGACGCUCAGGUGCGAAAGCGUGGGGAGCAAACAGGAUUAGAUACCCGAGGUAGUCCACGCUGUAAACGAUGUCGAUUGAGAGGUGUGUGCCCUUGAAGGCGUGGCUUCCGGAGCU
rnacentral:rRNA from 1 species